CUGAACCAGCCAAGUAGCGUGAAGGAUGACUGCCCUAUGGGUUGUAAACUUCUUUUAUAAAGGAAUAAAGUCGGGUAUGCAUACCCGUUUGCAUGUACUUUAUGAAUAAGGAUCGGCUGACUCCGUGCCAGCAGCCGCGGUAAUACGGAGGAUCCGAGCGUUAUCCGGAUUUAUUGGGUUUAAAGGGAGCGUAGAUGGAUGUUUAAGUCAGUUGUGAAAGUUUGCGG
rnacentral:rRNA from 1 species